UCCGUAGGUGAACCUGCGGAAGGAUCAUUACAAGUGAGGCUACCGAACGUUGGAAACAGCGGUUAGGAGCUUACACCCACCCGUGUCUACAUACUAUUGUUGCUUUGGCGGGCCGUGGCCUCCACUGCGGGCUCUGCUCGUGUGUGCCCGCCAGAGAACCAAACUCUGAAUGUUAGUGACGUCUGAGUACUAUCUAAUAGUUAAAACUUUCAACAACGGAUCUCUUGGUUCUGGCAUCGAUGAAGAACGCAGCGAAAUGCGAUAAGUAAUGUGAAUUGCAGAACUCAGUGAAUCAUCGAAUCUUUGAACGCACAUUGCGCCCUGUGGUAUUCCGCAGGGCAUGCCUGUUCGAGCGUCAUUUAACCACUCACGCCUAGCGUGGUAUUGGGGCACGCGGUCUCCGCGGCCCUCAAAAUUAGUGGCGGCGCCGGUGGGCUCUAAGCGUAGUACAUACUCCCGCUAUAGAGUUCCCCCGGUGGCUCGCCAGAACCCCCAAUUUUUACAGGUUGACCUCGGAUCAGGUAGGGAUACCCGCUGAACUUAAGCAUAUC
rnacentral:rRNA from 1 species